rnacentral:tRNA from 1 species
GCUUGGGUGGCUCAGUCGGUUGAGCUUCUGACUUCAGCUUAGGUCAUGAUCUCACUUUCGUGGGUUCAAGCCCCACGUCAGGCU